rnacentral:rRNA from 1 species
AGAAUCAACGCUGGCGGCGUGCCUAACACAUGCAAGUCGCACGAGAAAGGGUAGCAAUACCUGAGUAAAGUGGCGCACGGGUGAGUAACACGUGACUAAUCUACCCUCGAGUGGGGAAUAACCUAGAGAAAUCUGGGCUAAUACCGCAUAAUACUUACGAGUCAAAGCAGUAAUGCGCUUGGGGAGGAGGUCGCGGCCGAUUAGCUAGUUGGCGGGGUAAUGGCCCACCAAGGCGAUGAUCGGUA